GUGCUCUCUUCGGCAACACAUACACUAAAAUUGGAAAGAUGCAGAGAUUAGCAUGGCCUUUAUGCAAGGACUCACAAAUUCGGAAGCAUUCCACAUUGUA
rnacentral:snRNA from 1 species